ACUGAUAGUUCUAAGUUGGACCUUGUAAUUCUAUAAAGAUAAGCCUGUAAUUAGUUUAUUGUGGAAAAAUGGACACAUUGCCUUUCAGAAACUUGCUACUCUUUCAAGAACAGUGGGGAUUAGGAAAAUAUUGAUAUUUUAACUUCGUUGUGGUAACCAGAACAAGCGAUAACUGACGCGUAUCAUACGCCUAUCAUAGGAACAUUUUCGGUGGGGUCAACUUAAGGUAGGGUCAUAGUCGGUAGAGUCUAUUAUUCAAAGUUACACAACCAAACGGAAGUUUUAGGAAAUGACAUAGAAAGUCAUCACCUAAGGUCUGUAGCUAAAUUGCGAUUAUGAAUGGCUUCUCAUUCCGACGAGUCAACUGGCGGGAAUCCGCUCACUUCAUCCCUAGCCUUUCUCAGUGUCUGGCCAUCCAUACCGUAAAGGGGGUUAGACAACAUAUUUUAAUAGAGGGGGCUGAAAUUCAUAGGUCCUUGAAAUAAGAAUAAACUUAGGCAAAAUAAACAGGUUCUAUUACGAACUAUCACUAGUAACUGUACUAAGGACUUCUGAUAUCAAUCUAGAUACCAAAAAAAAAUAAGAAACGAUUUUCAAAAAAAAUAUAAAAAACAUUUUCCCUAAGCUUAAGCUGGAUUGCAUAUAAGCGAAGGUAGUAUAUCCUAGAAGGAUACCAAAAAAAUAAAAAAAUAAAAAAAAUCAAACUUUUUAUUAUGUAAAAAAAAGUUUUACUUCUAUAUCGGACUAACGCACGACAUAAAAACAUUUGAAGAAGGAUUUUUAAUAUUUCCUUUCAACAAAACAAAAAAAUUUUAUUCUUAUAACUAGGUAAAACAGUUCAAAGAACUGGGGUGUGAGCCAAACUGAGUUGCUCUGGAGAUCAACGUGCGGAAUCCCCUACACUACUUCCAGAGGCUCGUCUCCUUCGCGACAACAUCAAAAAAAUA
rnacentral:lncRNA from 1 species